GACGAACGCUGGCGGCGUGCCUAACACAUGCAAGUCAACUUGACUGAAGGAGCAAUCUGACAGUAGAGUGGCGCAAGGGUGCGUAACGCGUAAGUAACUUGCCCCAAGGUAAGGAAUAACGUCGAGAAAUCGGCGCUAAUACCUCAUAAUGCAGCGGAUCCGCAUGGAUAUGUUGUUAAAGGUUUACCGCCUUGGGAUAGGCUUGCGUCUGAUUAGCUAGUUGGUGUGGUAACGGCACACCAAGGCUACGAUCAGUAACUGGUCUGAGAGGAUGAUCAGUCACACUGGAACUGAGACACGGUCCAGACUCCUACGGGAGGCAGCAGUGAGGAAUAUUGGGCAAUGCUCGAAAGAGUGACCCAGCAACGCCGCGUGGAGGAUGAAGGUAUUCUAUAUCGUAAACUCCUGUGAGAGCAGACGAAAGACAGAUUAUUAAUCUGGAUGACUGUAUGCUCAGAGGAAGCCCGGCUAACGUACG
rnacentral:rRNA from 1 species